GAUGAACGCUGGCGGCGUGCCUAAUACAUGCAAGUCGAGCGAACAGACGAGGAGCUUGCUCCUCUGACGUUAGCGGCGGACGGGUGAGUAACACGUGGAUAACCUACCUAUAAGACUGGGAUAACUUCGGGAAACCGGAGCUAAUACCGGAUAAUAUAUUGAACCGCAUGGUUCAAUAGUGAAAGACGGUUUUGCUGUCACUUAUAGAUGGAUCCGCGCCGCAUUAGCUAGUUGGUAAGGUAACGGCUUACCAAGGCAACGAUGCGUAGCCGACCUGAGAGGGUGAUCGGCCACACUGGAACUGAGACAAGGUCCAGACUCCUAAGGGAGGCAGCAGUAGGGAAUCUUCCGCAAUGGGCGAAAGCUUGACGGAGCAACGCCGCGUGAGUGAUGAAGGUCUUCGGAUCGUAAAACUCUGUUAUUAGGGAAGAACAAAUGUGUAAGUAACUAUGCACGUCUUGACGGUACCUAAUCAGAAAGCCACGGCUAACUACGUG
rnacentral:rRNA from 1 species